rnacentral:misc_RNA from 1 species
AUGCGUUUAAGUAGAGUUUUUACGCUUCUGUACUGGAAAUAUUGGAAGCGUACAUAUAAGUAUCAUGUGAUCCUAUGUAUCAAAAUGGCGGCCCCCAAUGUAGGCAUGAACUCGCUUCCGGAUAACAUCAUACUAGAAAUAUUGGCUUAUCUUCCUGUCAAAUAUCGCUGCAUCUCCGGCAGAGUGUGUAGAAGAUGGCGCCGUAUUGUUCAAGACAACUCCCUGUGGCGCCAUGUUGAUCUGCUGCCGUAUGUUCUCAGCCUCAACAAGCUGUGGAAGGUGAUGCGGGCUCACUUCUCCGAAUGUCUCCUGACAAUGAAGCUGGGGGGCUUCUGUGACCCAAAAUCCACCAAAUGGAAGAAGCAUUCCUUAUCUGAUGCAAUGCUACUGGAUCUGCAAGAGAGAUGUCCUAAAAUGGUGUCCUUGACCUUGGUGAAAUGCAACACAGACAAUCUAAACUGCAAAAACCUGCCACGCUCCUUGAAACAUCUGACAAUGAACCAGUGUUCAUGGACACCACGCUGGCUAAACACAUCAACUGACCUUGACCUUACAGAACUUGACCUCACAAAAUGUUCUCGCGUUGACAGGUUUGAUCUAAUUGACAUCGCAGAGAAGUUCCCCAAUUUGAAACAUCUUGUCCUGAAUCAUUGCUACCGUGCAACGGAUCCAGGUUUUGAGAAGAUUGUUACCACGCUCACAGACCUUACCCAUCUGGAGCUGUCUGAUACAGCUUGCUCAGAUCUCACCAUCCACCACAUGUGCCGCAAUCUACCUCAUCUGGAGCAUCUAAACCUGUCAAAAUGUGGGCAGAUGAGCCAGUCGAGUCUCGGGACGAUAGCCGGGGCUCUGAAGGAGCUGCAGAGUCUGAAUCUCUCCUAUUGCAGUCAGAUCAAUCUGGAGGGCCUGACCCAGCUGGCUGCAGCUCCUACUCUUCGUAACCUCAUCCUUGAAGGUUGCAACCUUACUGAAGCAGACAUAAAAUCACUUAGAGAACGUCUAGGAGAAAAAGUAGACCUUGUUAUACCCUCUGUCAAUUCUAGUUAAUGAAUGAGUGAGUGAGUGAGUAUGGUUUUACACAGCCUUGGCUUAUCAUCCCCGCAUGGUACAUCUUCUGGUGUCCCCUUGCCAUGGUAUGUCUGGAAUAUUGCUAAAGUGCUCACCCAACUUAAGCAAGCUCUUGUGAAUUUAAUGUAGUUGAACAAAGUUCCGCUUUUAGUGCAGUUUUGUAGUACCAGGAGCAAACACAAGGUCACAUUGAUGCAGCAGUGUGUUUAUAUUAGUCAAAGUGGUUGUCAGACACAGCAGUGGAUGGAGAACUGGGACAUUGACUCAUUGUCAUCUAAAAUGUCGAAAAGAUUAUUUUUUUCAAAUUUGGGAUUCAUAUGUUCUGUGGUCUUAAUAACAUUCACUCACUCAUUCUAAAUUGUCACAUAAAGGAUACUGUUGUUAACAAUCUUUUUCAAGGCAGAGCAGGGUAGUGUGGUUUAUCUUGAUCACCCCUGGUUUACAAUGGCCUUUACUGGUUUACACUGGUUCACACUGGCCUUUGCUGGUUUACACUGACCUACACUGGUUUUCACUGGUUCACUUUGGUUUAAACCUUUCACUCACUCUCAGUCAUUCAGUCAUGUGAAGCAUGCAGGUCUACACUGGUCCAUACUGGUCUACACUGGUCUACACUAGUCUACACUAGUCUACACUGGUCUAUACUGGUCAUAUUGAUAGAUAUAAUAGCUCCUCCUGGCUCCAAUACAGUCCAUGUUUGUUAUUGAGAUUCAGUGGCAAUGUAAGGGACGGGGCCUAGGGUAUCCAUUUAUCUGGAAUUCUACUUAACCUCAGGAUAUUGCAACCAUUUCCUCAUAUGAUCACAUCCCACCAGCCAAAACAAGGAACAAGGAAAACAAAGACUGCACACCUGUGACCCACCCAUAUGAUUAGAUGUUCAGGGUAUGACGCUACCAGGGCAUUGAAUCACCAACCUUCCGCUCUCAGAAGUACAAGUGGCUCAUUCACCACACAUCUACUCAUCAACCAAUCAUCAUUGUCGUACACAGUCCUGUUUGUUUGUUUGUUUGUUUGCUUAGAAUUUUACUUCUUCUUGUGUAGAAAUGGAGAGAAUAUGACAGUUUGUUUGGUCGUCGUUUAUACAUAUGAUAAUAAAAGGCAGCUUCUAUGUAAUGUAGUGACCAAAAUAUUAAAAUGAAAUUUACCGACACAAUAAUUAUAUAUGAUAAUGUUUUUGUUUUGAAAUAAAAUUCCUUAAAUUA